CCUACGGGAGGCAGCAGUGAGGAAUAUUGGUCAAUGGACGAGAGUCUGAACCAGCCAAGUAGCGUGAAGGAUGACUGCCCUAUGGGUUGUAAACUUCUUUUAUAUGGGAAUAAAAUGUUCCACGUGUGGGCUUUUGUAUGUACCAUAUGAAUAAGGAUCGGCUAACUCCGUGCCAGCAGCCGCGGUAAUACGGAGGAUCCGAGCGUUAUCCGGAUUUAUUGGGUUUAAAGGGAGCGUAGGUGGUUUGUUAAGUCAGUUGUGAAAGUUUGCGGCUCAACCGUAAAAUUGCAGUUGAAACUGGCAGUCUUGAGUACAGUAGAGGUGGGCGGAAUUCGUGGUGUAGCGGUGAAAUGCUUAGAUAUCACGAAGAACGCCGAUUGCGAAGGCAGCUCACUGGACUGCAACUGACACUGAGGCUCGAAAGUGUGGGUAUCAAACAGGAUUAGAUACCCCAGUAGUC
rnacentral:rRNA from 1 species